UGUCGCCAAGCGCCGUGACGGCGUCCGUCGCCGCGCGGCUCGCCGUCGUAGUCGUAGCCCGGGAGCUACAGCGCGGACCGCCGAACCGACCGCGCCGCUCGCCACCAACUCUGCCCCAACGCCACCAGAGAACCGGCAGGCGGCAGCUGUGGGCUCUGAACUACUGCUAGUAGAUGGGGUCCGGGUGGAGGGGCAUCCUGGGCUUCGACUACGGCAUCGUGCAGGCGCCGCUGGGCCCCGACAUCUCCGGUCCCGAGCUCGCCGCCGCCGUCGCUAACGCCGGCGCCAUCGGCCUUAUCCGCCUCCCCGACUUUCCGGCGCCGGAUUACGUGAGGGAGCUGAUACGGAAGACGAGGAGCCUGACGUCCCGGCCGUUCGGGGCGGCCAUCGUGCUCCCGUUCCCGUACGAGGAUAACCUGAGGGUCGUGCUGGAGGAGAAGCUUGCCGUUCUGCAGGUGUACUGGGGUGAGUUCCCCAGGGAGUGGGUCCAAGAGGCGCACCGCGCCGGCGUCAAGGUCUUGCAUCAGGUCGGCAGCCUCGAAGAGGCAGCAAAAGCUAAAGAAGCCGGUGUAGAUGGAAUAAUUGUUCAAGGCCGUGAAGCAGGGGGUCAUGUAAUUGGUCAGGAAGGAUUGAUUCCACUGUUGCCAAGAGUAGUAGAUCUUGUUUCGGACUCUGGCAUUCCAAUUAUUGCUGCUGGGGGAAUUGUAGACGGUCGUGGCUAUGUUGCUGCAUUGGCACUUGGUGCUCAAGGUGUUUGCUUAGGAACAAGAUUCCUGGCUACCGAGGAAAGCUAUGCACAUCCUAUUUAUAAGGAAAAGGUAAUUGAGAUGAGUUGCACUGACUAUACAAAUGUGUUUGGGCGUGCUAGAUGGUCUUAUGCUCCACAACGUGUCCUGGAAACACCGUUCUAUUCUGGCUGCAAGAAUCUCCCAGAUCAGGAAACAGAGGAAAACCAACCCAUUAUUGGUCACUCUAUCAUCCAUGGUGUGCACAAGGAUAUUCAUCGAUUUGCUGGUAUUGCUCCAAACCCCACCGCGACAGGUGAUAUUGGUAGCAUGGUCAUGUACGCAGGUCAGAGUGUUGGGUUAAUCACAGAGAUCAUACCAGCCGGCGAAGUUGUCAAAAGGCUGGUCGCUGAAGCCAAGGAUGUCAUAAGAGAAAGGCUUUCUGAUUUCCAGUAAAAGGUAAAUUGCAUAUGGUGUGUCGAAACGCCGUGCAUUGACGUUGAUGCCAUUGGUCGGCUCUUCCACCCACCAGCAGCUUGCUCCAGCUCUGGACCACUCGCAAUUGAGAGUGCCCAUACCCGUUGAGCUUCUGACCAGAUCAUGGGGGAGGUGAAGAGAAUGAAAACAACAAAGCAGGUAAAUUCAACCUAGUACUAUAUGGCAUGUGUCUGAUUAUUAAUGAACAAUGAGCUAGCGCAAGCAAGUGCUCCGUCAGUCAAUCUAUGCAUAUGGGUUGCUGAAUGAAAGAAUGUUGAACGGCGUCAGAUGCAGUA